UACGUAGGGUGCGAGCGUUGUCCGGAAUUAUUGGGCGUAAAGAGCUCGUAGGCGGUUUGUUGCGUCUAUCGUGAAAACCUGCAGCUUAACUGUGGGCUUGCGGUGGAUACGGGCAGACUUGAGUUCGGUAGGGGAGACUGGAAUUCCUGGUGUAGCGGUGAAAUGCGCAGAUAUCAGGAGGAACACCGGUGGCGAAGGCGGGUCUCUGGACAGUUCCUGACGCUGAGGCACGAAGGUCAGGGGAGCAAACGGG
rnacentral:rRNA from 1 species